GAAGAGAUCACGUGAGAAAAAAAAAAAAAAAAAAAGGAAGGCAGAGGGCCCGGAGCGGCCAGACUCAUUCUUUCUUAGCAAUCCAUUCUCAGAAAUUAAGCAGAGUGCCAAGGAACGUCGCCAGCCCCCUGUGCUGGCACACUCCCAGUGAUCUUAUCAUCUUCCAGCAAACCCUAAGUCCUCUUAGCAUCACCACACUGAGGCCCAACCUUCCAAAGCACGAACCCUUAGGAACAAGCCACAGCCAAACCACGGCAAUCUGUUCGACCUUCCCCAGCCAACAACAGUGAGUCCAGUCCCAUUGGCGCCCCCAGUUCUCUGACCUUUCUUCUCCCGCCACCUUCCCCUGCGUUGCUCUGACCUCAACUGGAGAAAGUCUCCUGUUUGUAAGAAGAGCUCACUUGAUUAGAUUGGCUGCCUGUGUAACCUAGACGACUCUCCCCAUCACAAGGCAAGGUCUAGAAGAAAAAAUAUACCUUCUCAUUAAGCAAGCUCUGCUAUGCUGAUGGGUAAGAGCUUCAACCAGAAGAGAAACCAAGCCUUCCGAUGAAGCAGGCUCUGCCAUGUGGAUCAGAAAGAACUUCAGCCAAAAGUCAAACCAUGCCUUCCCAAAAGGCAGGCUCCACCAUGCUGAUAGGUAAGAGCGUCAGCCAGAGGAGAAACCACGCCUUCCCGUGAGCCAGCUGGUGUGCAGGCUGAAAAACCAGCAGAGUGCUCCCCACCCUCCUCCCCCACUGAUUCGGAGGGCUCAGGGUGAGAUGAUAGCAACUGAGGGGAAGGGAAUAGCUCGAUGUUUGUAUCCUUCAGUUGAUUCUCUGGGCCUGGGACUAGUGGUCUGGGCAUCUAUUUGGAGGAUGGCAGUGUGCAUUGUGUCAACUGUGGGGGAUUUCCUCCUGUCUUGUUUUUGAAAUCAAGUGGGUUUUUUUUUCCAUUUUACUCUUUUAUUUUAUCCCUGUGUCUAGUAACCUGAGCAACUAUUUUGAAGAUAACGAUGUACAGUAUUGUUCUCACUGUUUUGUUCGGAUUUAUGGGUGUUUUUAAUUCAAUGUUACAUUUUGACUGGUUUUAUUCUGUUUUGUUAUGUUUGCUUUUGCUUUGUCUGAUGGUAUGAACAACUGUUGUGAAGACAGCAAGGUAUAUUAUGGUAGCCACUGUUGAUUUCUAUUUAUUCUAUUUUAAAGUUCUGUACCAUUUUCACUGCUUUGUU